UACGUAGGGGGCAAGCGUUGUCCGGAUUUACCGGGCGUAAAGAGCGUGUAGGCGGCCAAGCAGGUCCGUUGUGAAAACUGGAGGCUUAACCUCCAGACGUCGACGGAAACCGCGUGGCUAGAGUCCGGAAGAGGAGAGUGGAAUUCCUGGUGUAGCGGUGAAAUGCGCAGAUAUCAGGAAGAACACCAAUGGCGAAGGCAGCUCUCUGGGACGGUACUGACGCUGAGACGCGAAAGCGUGGGGAGCGAACAGG
rnacentral:rRNA from 1 species